rnacentral:rRNA from 1 species
GAAGUUGGAGUCGCUAGUAAUCGCAGAUCAGCAACGCUGCGGUGAAUACGUUCCCGGGCCUUGUACACACCGCCCGUCACGUCAUGAAAGUCGGUAACACCCGAAGCCGGUGGCCUAACCCUUGUGGAGGGAGCCGUCGAAGGUGGGAUCGGCGAUUGGGACGAAGUCGUAACAAGGUAGCCGCACCGGAAGGUGCGGCUGGAUCACCUCCUUU